GGCUCUCCCCGCAGGAGCAGGCACACCGAUGGGAACCGAGAGGCCAGGGAUGGAACAUGGCUUUGUUUGGAGCGGAGAGACCCACACGAUCUUUCUUUUCGCAACUUUCUGCAUGACCCGUUCCAUAGAACUGCUAGAAUCAAGGUUGGCAAAGCUGAGAGGCAAGCCUUGACGAUAGCCUCACCCAGACUCAUCCAGGAAACCAGACCCGAAGUACCUAAAAGAGUUUGAUCAUCAGAGCAAGACAAGAAAAUGAAAUCCACAGACCCAACACCCCUCAUGAGCAUAGGCGCAGAAGUCCUUAACAUAUAUCAUCAAACCAACGCCAGCGAUGUAUAAAAAAUAUAAUAUUGAAAAUUA